rnacentral:rRNA from 1 species
UACGAAGGGGGCUAGCGUUGUUCGGAAUCACUGGGUGUAAAGGGCGCGUAGGCGGCUUUGUAAGUCGGGGGUGAAAGCCUGUGGCUCAACCACAGAAUUGCCUUCGAUACUGCAUGGCUUGAGACCGGAAGAGGUAAGUGGAACUGCGAGUGUAGAGGUGAAAUUCGUAGAUAUUCGCAAGAACACCAGUGGCGAAGGCGGCUUACUGGUCCGGUUCUGACGCUGAGGCGCGAAGGCGUGGGGAGCAAACAGG